rnacentral:lncRNA from 1 species
GGAGUAUUUGUGAUACAAUGCAUGUUGGAGUAGUGGAGGAUGUAUAUUUGGGAACAUAGGCCUACACAGUUAUAUUUUAUAUUUUCUUGAUCCCUAAUGUCAUUGAAGGAUCAGCUACUUAUUUGAGCAUCUUCACUGAAAAUUCCUAGGCCUAUCAAAGUGCACAUGGGAUUGCAGAGUUCCCAGAUAUUUAUUCCAUGUAUGCUGAGUGAAGUUCAACAAGUCACUGACUGUGUCUUCAGAGAUGCUGAAUACCUUGAAACCCACCAGUUUCAGUGGGAUUUGACCAAGAGACUGACAUGAUCUGUCAAGAUCGAGACACAGAAAAGCUGCGCACAUCAGUGUCAGUGCUCUGUCUGGCUGCUGAGACUGAUCUUCGUCUGCUAAGGCCUGGGUUCUUCAAAACAACCUGCCAAGGCAGCAGAGUACAGCUGGGAGUCAGACUUCUGCCCAAUUUCAGCUUUAGAGUAUGUGGCCAGAAUCCCACCUGUCGGUAUGUAAAUCUCAUCUGCUUUACAGCAGUCACAUUCAGCAAUACUUGGGCAGUAAGCAUACUACAUUUCUCUGUAGUAACUGGUUAAAACAAAACUUAGAGUCUUGAAUCCCAUUCUGAUUUCAUUUACACUAAAUUAGUCUGGAUGUCUUUGAUUAACGAAAAGAAAUUAGAUAUGAUCAGUCACAGGGGUGGAGAAUAUUUUUCAACUCAUUGGCUCAGGCUCCAGCUGGAUAAACUGGCAUAAUCUCAUC